AUCCAGUUGACGAGUUCAAAAUAAGACGAAACCAGUGUCCUGGAU
rnacentral:hammerhead_ribozyme from 1 species